rnacentral:rRNA from 1 species
GACGAACGCUGGCGGCGUGCUUAACACAUGCAAGUCGAACGGAAAGGCCCUGAUUUUGUGGGGUGCUCGAGUGGCGAACGGGUGAGUAACACGUGAGUAUCCUGCCCUUGACUUUGGGGUAACUUCAGGAAACUGGGGCUAAUACAGGAUAGGAGCUCAUGCUGCAUGGUGGGGGUUGGAAAGUUUCGGCGGUUGGGGAUGGACUCGCGGCUUAUCAGCUUGUUGGUGGGGUAGUGGCUUACCAAGGCUUUGACGGGUAGCCGGCCUGAGAGGGUGACCGGCCACAUUGGGACUGAGAUACGGCCCAGACUCCUACGGGAGGCAGCAGUGGGGAAUAUUGCACAAUGGGCGGAAGCCUGAUGCAGCAACGCCGCGUGCGGGAUGACGGCCUUCGGGUUGUAAACCGCUUUCGCCUGUGACGAAGCGUGAGUGACGGUAAUGGGUAAAGAAGCACCGGCUAACUACGUG